AGACGAGAGGCCCGUGGAGGGAGUUCUGGGUGUGGCCAGCCCUCUGACCAGAAAAUGCUGGAACGUUGUCAACGAAACCGUGGUCCCUUCCCUUAGCACGCUGUGGGCGGCAGCCGGAGGGUGUGCUGCGGCCUGAAGCAAUCAGUGGGCAUUCCGAACCUGACAGCUUUGUGGUGAAUGUGGCACUGUCACUGAGUGCUUGUCUCCUCCAAUAUCAACCAUUUCCGAGACACUCGGCGGUGGCCGCGCGGAGCACUCCCACGUCUCCCAAGGAUUUCGCAGCAGCUGCGCAGACACCCGCCACAAUGCACCAUUGUACAUUCCGACCAGCGAUGCGUGAGGGUGCCAGUUUUUCUACAUUCUCCCCAGCAUUUGUCACGGUCUUUUAAAAAUUACUAAAGCCAAACCUAAUAAA